AUCCCUGGGCCUGGGCCUACCUAGGUGAAGACAGGCAUUUUUGUUUUCCUGCCCGGAUGUUGCAUUUCCCAAGACCACCCUGGCCUGCCAUGCCCUCAUCCUGUGCCUUUAAAAACCCCCGAGACCCUGGCAGGCAGACGCACAAGCAGCUGGACAUUGAGAGGAGCAUAUAGGCAGAGAAUACAGGGGCUGCUGGAUGUCGAAAGGAACGCACCAGCAUAGGAGCACACCGGCAUGCUGGCAGGCCAUUGACCAGCGGAAGAAUGCAGAGUUUGUCGCGGGAGGUCAGAGAAGAGUCAGGCCGCCAUACCUGACUCCAGGAGAAAACCGUCUCCCUUCUGGUUCCCCCGUCUGCCGAGAGCUACUUCCACUCAAUAAAACUUUCCACUCAUUCUUCAAGCCCACGUGUGAUCCAAUUCUUCCCGUACACCAAGAAACAGGGUCUUGCUCUGUUGCCCUGGCUGGAGUGCAAUGGUAUGAUCAUAGCUCACAGUAGCCUUGAACUCCUGGGCCCAAGCCAUCCUCCUACCUCAGCAACCAGAGUAGCUGGGAUUACAGGCGAAUGCCACCACACCUGGAUGGAGUCUCACUGUCACGCAGAUUGGAGUGCAGUGGCACGAUCCUGGCUCACUGCAACCUCUGCCUCUUGGGUUCAAGCAACUCUCCUGCCCCAGCCUCCUCAGUAGCUAGGACUACAGGCCUGUGCCACAAUGCCCAGCUAAUUUCUGUAUUUUUAGUAGACAUGGGGUUUCACCGUAUUGGCCAGGCUGGUCUUGAACUCCUGACUUCAGAAUUGGAAAAAUGAAUGUAAUUUGACAUAUGUCUUGAGUCUGGUUGGCUUCUGAGGAACUUGUGUGCAUCUCAUCAGUAUGCAUCUUAAGAACUGAAAUGACCCUACUUCAGCAUUGUGAGAAGACAUGCAUUCUCUUCGUAUAAAUAAUGUGGAUCUUACAUGUAAAGUAUUAUAAAGAUUAGCUGUUUAACAACUUAAAUAAGCUUGUGAAUAAUAAAUUAAUAACAAUGUUAUGCUAAUACGUAACUAUGAUAUUUGCUGAACAAAAUAAAUUUGCCUACUUUGGAAGCAGAUUGGGUGGUUUAAUAUAUCAGCAAAAGAGUGUUUUUAAAAAAUAUCAAAGUUCUGUUAAUCAAAACGUUUAUUGUAGGACAGUUAGUAAUGUUUUGUUUGCCAACUUAUAUUACAAAGUCUCUGUCUUAAGUGUUUCCUUGCAAAUAAAAUGACAAUACUGCCUUACAUUUUAUUACUUUAGAGUUUGCAAAAUAUCUUCAUUAUAAUAUUUCAUUUAGUAGACAUGCCUAUGGGAACAUUACUUCCAGAAUUAAAAACAUUAUUUUUGUUUUGGUAUAUUUUUAAACUACAAAUGAUAGAAAGGCAAGUAAAUGUAAGUUUUUCUCUAGUUAUUUGUUCAAAUGCUAAUUUAAAACAUUUGUACAUUUCUAAUACAAACAUUCCUUAUUUGAGAAAAAAUGGAUUUCUUAAAAACAAAAUGCAUUUUAAAGCAGAGAGACAGGGCAUUGAGCUGAAAAUGGUGGCUGGAAGUUGGGAUCUGUAAGAGAAGUUGAAUGUGCCCCGAGGCAUAAAGCUGCUAAUUUUGUUUUAUUGGAUUUUACUGUAGCUAUUAAUAUAUUUUGCUGGAGAUUUAUGUGAUCAAUUUAUCUUAUGGCCAGAACUAAUUCCCUUAGUAUAUUUUAUUAGAAUAUGUGACUUUUUCUAAAUUUAGCUUUAUUUUUCAUAUUUUCCAUAAAUGGCAAAGAUUCUAUGUUUCCAGACAUGUUAAGUAUUGCAAGAAUUAUUGGAGCACCUAAAGAUAAAUAAUAUCAAAAUAGUGUCAUUGUUUCCCUUAGUUUCUCCUUCUCCCCCACAAAUAAACCAAGAGGUAUUUAGUUAUACUAUUGCAUGUCUCUAGCUUUAUUGGAUUCUUCCAUGAAAGAAAAAUGGAUUACAUUUUUGGUUGUGUGGCCCUCGUUGCCCUAUUGCACUUUUGAUAAUAUUUGCCUGUGACAAGUAGUUAUUUUUCAUUACCACAUUCAAUCAUGGGUAAUAAAAUAUUUUAAUAAUGGUGAAUGUGAAGUUAAUUAAUAACCCGCAGGUAUGGCAGCUAGACAGGAUUGCUCUCCAUCUCAAACACAAGGAAAACAAUUCCAUCGGUAGUUAUAAAUUUGCAUAUGAAUGUCAAAUAUAUGAGGUUUUGAAUAAAAAUCAUUUCUGAGUAAAA
rnacentral:lncRNA from 1 species